AUGUUGGGAUCUGUUACCCUCUUUCUUUCUUCCUUGCUCCCUGUGGCCCAGACAGCCCUCACCCUGGACCAGCCCCUGGUCUCCAUCACCAAAAAGAUGGGGAGUGCUGCUACAUUUCUCUGCAAGUUGUCUGACACAAAGAUCAAGUACAUCCACUGGUAUCGCCAGCAGCUUGGGAAGGCUCCCCAGCACCUGUUCUACUAUAACUUGGCCACGUCUCAAGCCACACUGGAUGCAGGACUCAGCUCAGAAAAAAUUACCACUUUCAAGACCAGAGACCAAGGCUGCAGCUUGGUGGUAUGGAAACUGGUUAUGAGUGAUGCUGGCACCUAUUACUGUGCCACCUGGGACUCCGCAGUGAAACAGGAUACUCCGUUCCUCAUACAAAAAGGAGAAAGGCCUGUCCGCCCCCCGCAGCUCUGGCACUGA